CAAGCUCCCCAGGUGAGUUCACUUACGCAGCUAGUUCUGCUUAAGCCAAAAUGUCUUUCAUGACGUCUGGUCUUCUUAAGGGUAUUAUAUUCCCUGAAGGAAUUCCUCUGGAGUAACAAUGAGUCAGCUUUUUCCUUAGCUUCUUUUACAAAUAAAUACUGAGUUUCAGACGUCAAGCAGUGCAAUUCAGCGGAGGAAAGUGACUAAUAGCAGGGGCCAUCUGGCCAGCCACACUUCCACUGGGAACACUGGGAUAUGGGUUAGAGGCAGACAUGGAAAAGAUAGCCGUGAGGAGAAGGAGAGCUCUUGGCCUGCAUGGUUGUCAUCUGCAUGUGUGCCCUCUUGGUGUAUCAGCUGUUCAAGGGAGGCCAGUCCUGUUCGGGAAACACUUGCUCUGAGGCUCUCCCUACUUCAGUUCCAGGCUCGCCUGCCUGCUGGCAAUGAAGGUGCCUAGACUUGAAUUCCUGGUUCAGAUUCCUUCAUCUGAUGACAACUAAUAAAGGGUGUGGCAGCAAAUGUAAGUCAUCAUUCAAUCUGACUCGAACUAGGGAACCCAGGUGAAGAAACCAGUGUACAUCCUUAUCACCACCAAAGAUAAGCCCCUGUACAAGGCUGUCUGCUCACUAAAGAUGUAAAACAAGCAAAGAUCCAUCAUCAUUCCACUUAGAGAGGUUUAAUGCUUUAGUGCUUAAAAUUCCAUAGUAAAUGUAGGCACUUUUCCCUAGCAAUGUCAAAGCUAAAAAGGGGAAUUCUUGUCAGCAGCAUAAACAGAUUACGCUUAUGAACCAAGCCACAAGAAAGGAGUUCAUACUUCUUUCUGGUAGAUGAAUGUUUGUCACCCCAUGUCACCCUAUGGCAAAAGUAUAACAUUCAAAAUCAACUGGUAGAAAAGAGACAAAUACAGAUUCUUCAAAGGGGCAAAUAAAAACUAUUUUCAUAUACAUAUAUCAGUUCUUAUAAAAUAAAAACUAGCCAGGUGUGGUGGUACAUACCUGUAGUCUCAGCACCUUGGGAGGCUACAGCUGAAGGAUUGCUUGAACCCAGGAGGUUGAGGCUGCAGUAAGCCAUGUUUGUGCCACUACACUCUAGCCUGAGUGACACAGCAAGAUCCUGUCUCUAAAUAAAUAAAUAAAUACUACAUAUCAAUCUGUUUGAAGUAACAUUCAGUUUAGUGAGCUACUGACAUGUGCAGGCUCAAUGUUGUGUUAUUUUGUUUAUUUACACCGUACUGAGAGUAGGAGCCUCAUCUGACAUGGACUAUGGAAGAAAGCCCAAAGCCUCCACCCCUGUAACAAUACAGAAGUCAUUUUGACCUUGAAGGUUUUAGAGCAGGUAUACCAAUGACCACGUGGGUCAAUAAAAGAAAAAAUCUUUAUUGAUUUCAGCUGCACAGCUUCUUGGGCCGGC
rnacentral:lncRNA from 1 species